CAGCCAUAUCACCCUGCAGCACAAGACUGCUUGCCCACUGAAGCUAAGCAGGGUUGAGCCUGGUCAGUACCUGGAUGGGAGACCUCCUGGGAAAACUAGGUUACUG
rnacentral:rRNA from 1 species